GACAGAGGGUGCAAACGUUGUUCGGAAUUACUGGGCGUAAAGCGAGUGUAGGCGGUUUCCUAAGUCGGAUGUGAAAGCCCCGGGCUCAACCCGGGAAGUGCAUUCGAAACUGGCGAGCUUGAAUAUGGAAGAGGGUCGCGGAAUUCCCGGUGUAGAGGUGAAAUUCGUAGAUAUCGGGAGGAACACCAGUGGCGAAGGCGGCGACCUGGGCCAAUAUUGACGCUGAGGUGCGAAAGCGUGGGGAGCAAACAGG
rnacentral:rRNA from 1 species